rnacentral:rRNA from 1 species
UACGGGGGGGGUAAGCGUUGUUCGGAAUUACUGGGCGUAAAGGGCUCGUAGGCGGCCAACUAAGUCAUACGUGAAAUCCCUCAGCUUAACUGGGGAACUGCGUGUGAUACUGGAUGGCUUGGAUUUGGGAGAGGGAUGCGGAAUUCCAGGUGUAGCGGUGAAAUGCGUAGAGAUGUGGAGGAACACCUGUGGCGAAGGCGCCUUGCUGGCCGAUUUCUGACGCUGAGGCGCGAAAGCGUGGGGAGCAAACAGG